CAGGCGCGAAACCUUUACACUGCACGCAAGUGCGAUAAGGGGACCCCAAGUGCGAGGGCAUAUAGUCCUCGCUUUUCUCGACUGUAAGGCGGUCGAGGAAUAAGAGCUGGGCAAGACCGGUGCCAGCCGCCGCGGUAAUACCGGCAGCUCAAGUGAUGACCGAUAUUAUUGGGCCUAAAGCGUCCGUAGCCGGCCACGAAGGUUCAUCGGGAAAUCCGCCAGCUCAACUGGCGGGCGUCCGGUGAAAACCACGUGGCUUGGGACCGGAAGGCUCGAGGGGUACGUCCGGGGUAGGAGUGAAAUCCCGUAAUCCUGGACGGACCACCGAUGGCGAAAGCACCUCGAGAAGACGGAUCCGACGGUGAGGGACGAAAGCUAGGGUCUCGAACCGGAUUAGAUACCCGGGUAGUCCUAGCUGUAAACGAUGCUCGCUAGGUGUGACACAGGCUACGAGCCUGUGUUGUGCCGUAGGGAAGCCGAGAAGCGAGCCGCCUGGGAAGUACGUCCGC
rnacentral:rRNA from 1 species